CGAGUGCUUGUCUCAAUUGGAAUGAGGAGUGGGGGACGGGCCAGUAACCCGGGGGUAACCUACCCAUCAGAGGGGGAUAACACUUGGAAACAGGUGCUAAUACCGCAUAACAGUUUAUGCCGCAUGGCAUAAGAGUGAAAGGCGCUUUCGGGUGUCGCUGAUGGAUGGACCAGCGGUGCAUUAGCUAGUUGGUGAGGUAACGGCUCACCAAGGCCACGAUGCAUAGCCGACCUGAGAGGGUGAUCGGCCACACUGGGACUGAGACACGGCCCAGACUCCUACGGGAGGCAGCAGUAGGGAAUCUUCGGCAAUGGACGAAAGUCUGACCGAGCAACGCCGCGUGAGUGAAGAAGGUUUUCGGAUCGUAAAACUCUGUUGUUAGAGAAGAACAAGGACGUUAGUAACUGAACGUCCCCUGACGGUAUCUAACCAGAAAGCCACGGCUAACUACGUGCCAGCAGCCGCGGUAAUACGUAGGUGGCAAGCGUUGUCCGGAUUUAUUGGGCGUAAAGCGAGCGCAGGCGGUUUCUUAAGUCUGAUGUGAAAGCCCCCGGCUCAACCGGGGAGGGUCAUUGGAAACUGGGAGACUUGAGUGCAGAAGAGGAGAGUGGAAUUCCAUGUGUAGCGGUGAAAUGCGUAGAUAUAUGGAGGAACACCAGUGGCGAAGGCGGCUCUCUGGUCUGUAACUGACGCUGAGGCUCGAAAGCGUGGGGAGCAAACAGGAUUAGAUACCCUGGUAGUCCACGCCGUAAACGAUGAGUGCUAAGUGUUGGAGGGUUUCCGCCCUUCAGUGCUGCAGCAAACGCAUUAAGCACUCCGCCUGGGGAGUACGACCGCAAGGUUGAAACUCAAAGGAAUUGACGGGGGCCCGCACAAGCGGUGGAGCAUGUGGUUUAAUUCGAAGCAACGCGAAGAACCUUACCAGGUCUUGACAUCCUUUGACCACUCUAGAGAUAGAGCUUUCCCUUCGGGGACAAAGUGACAGGUGGUGCAUGGUUGUCGUCAGCUCGUGUCGUGAGAUGUUGGGUUAAGUCCCGCAACGAGCGCAACCCUUAUUGUUAGUUGCCAUCAUUUAGUUGGGCACUCUAGCGAGACUGCCGGUGACAAACCGGAGGAAGGUGGGGAUGACGUCAAAUCAUCAUGCCCCUUAUGACCUGGGCUACACACGUGCUACAAUGGGAAGUACAACGAGUCGCUAGACCGUGAGGUCAUGCAAAUCUUCUAAAGCUUCUUUCAGUUCGGAUUGCAGGUUGCAACUCGCCUGCAUGAAGCCGGAAUCGCUAGUAAUCGCGGAUCAGCACGCCGCGGUGAAUACGUUCCCGGGCCUUGUACCCCCCGCCCGUCCCCCCACGAGAGUUGGUAACACCCGAAGUCGGU
rnacentral:rRNA from 1 species